ACAGGUGACUAGGGGUGAAGGAGCCAGUGCUUCAGACCUCAGAGGCCUCUCUGACUAGGGGGAGGUAUCCGGGCAGGAGAGGUACCAGGGGCUUCUGGGGCCUUAGCUCCUAGUCUUGGA
rnacentral:miRNA from 1 species